rnacentral:rRNA from 1 species
AACGAACGCUGGCGGCAUGCCUAACACAUGCAAGUCGAACGAGACCUUCGGGUCUAGUGGCGCACGGGUGCGUAACGCGUGGGAAUCUGCCCUUGGGUUCGGAAUAACUUCGGGAAACUGAAGCUAAUACCGGAUGAUGACGUAAGUCCAAAGAUUUAUCGCCCAAGGAUGAGCCCGCGUAGGAUUAGCUAGUUGGUGAGGUAAAGGCUCACCAAGGCGACGAUCCUUAGCUGGUCUGAGAGGAUGAUCAGCCACACUGGGACUGAGACACGGCCCAGACUCCUACGGGAGGCAGCAGUGGGGAAUAUUGGACAAUGGGCGAAAGCCUGAUCCAGCAAUGCCGCGUGAGUGAUGAAGGCCUUAGGGUUGUAAAGCUCUUUUACCCGGGAUGAUAAUGACAGUACCGGGAGAAUAAGCUCCGGCUAACUCCGUGCCAGCAGCCGCGGU